AACGAACGCUGGCGGCAUGCCUAACACAUGCAAGUCGAACGAAGUCUUCGGACUUAGUGGCGCACGGGUGCGUAACGCGUGGGAAUCUGCCCUUGGGUGCGGAAUAACUUCUCGAAAGGGAUGCUAAUACCGCAUAAUGUCGUAAGACCAAAGAUUUAUCGCCCAAGGAUGAGCCCGCGUAAGAUUAGCUAGUUGGUGGGGUAAAAGCCUACCAAGGCGACGAUCUUUAGCUGGUCUGAGAGGAUGAUCAGCCACACUGGGACUGAGACACGGCCCAGACUCCUACGGGAGGCAGCAGUGGGGAAUAUUGGACAAUGGGCGAAAGCCUGAUCCAGCAAUGCCGCGUGAGUGAUGAAGCGUCUCUGACGUGUAAACCACUGUCAGGGGUUGGAAACAAUGAUCGACCCCAAAGGAAGUGGCGACUAACUCUGUGCCAGCAGCCGCGGUAU
rnacentral:rRNA from 1 species